CAAAGGGGGCGACUCCGGUCACGGAUGGGCAUGCGGCGCAUUAGGUAGUUGGUGGGGCAGCGGCCCACCAAGCCGACGAUGCGUAGGGGUUCUGAGAGGAAGGUCCCCCACAUUGGAACUGAGACACGGUCCAAACUCCUACGGGAGGCAGCAGUGAGGAAUAUUGGUCAAUGGCCGGAAGGCUGAACCAGCCAAGUCGCGUGAGGGAAUAAGGCCCUACGGGUCGUAAACCUCUUUUGUCAGGGAGCAAGGCCGCCCACGUGUGGACGGAAGGAGAGUACCUGGAGAAAAAGCAUCGGCUAACUCCGUGCCAGCAGCCGCGGUAAUACGGAGGAUGCGAGCGUUAUCCGGAUUUAUUGGGUUUAAAGGGUGCGUAGGCGGCCUGCCAAGUCAGCGGUAAAAUUGCGGGGCUCAACCCCGUACAGCCGUUGAAACUGCCGGGCUCGAGUGGGCGAGAAGUAUGCGGAAUGCGUGGUGUAGCGGUGAAAUGCAUAGAUAUCACGCAGAACCCCGAUUGCGAAGGCAGCAUACCGGCGCCCUACUGACGCUGAGGCACGAAAGUGCGGGGAUCAAACAGGAUUAGAUACCCUGGUAGUCCGCACAGUAAACGAUGAAUGCUAGCUGUCCGGGGGGAUUGACCCCUGG
rnacentral:rRNA from 1 species